AUUAUGGAAUGUGUUUUCCCACA
rnacentral:snRNA from 1 species